CGGUUGAGAAGCAGAUCCAGAGUCACAGGGAGACCCAUCAGAAACAGAUCAGCAGCCUGAGAGACGAACUGGAAACCAAAGUGAAAAUCAUUACAGAUCUACAAGAUCUGAAUCAGAAGAUCUUGUUGGAGCAGGAGCGUUUGAGGGUGGAACAUGAGAAACUCAAAUCCACUGACCAGGAGAAGAGCCGCAAACUACACGAGCUCACUAUGAUGCAGGACCG